GCCGGGUGUGGUGGCAUGUGCCUGUAAUCCAAGUCACUGGGAGGCUGAGGUUGGUGGAUCAAGUGAGCUGAGGUGCUCUGGGCUGCAGCACACUAUGUCGAACUGGUGUCCACGCUAAGUUCGGUAUCAAUAUGGUGUUCCUGGGGGGGCCGGGACCACCAGGUUGUCUAAGGAGGGGUGAACCGGCCCAGGUUGGAAACGAAGCAGGUCAAAUCCCCCGUGCUGUCCAGUAGUGGGAUAAUACCUGUGAGUAGAUGCUGCAGUGCAGCCUUGGCAAAACUUUGAGACCUAAUCUUUG
ensembl:misc_RNA Metazoa_SRP Metazoan signal recognition particle RNA